GUGACAGAAGAGAGUGAGCACACAUGGUUUUCUUGCAUUCAUACUUCAUGCUCGUAGCUCUGCGUGCUCACCCUCUAUCUGUCAU
rnacentral:pre_miRNA from 1 species